rnacentral:rRNA from 1 species
GUUUGAUCCUGGCUCAGGAUGAACGCUAGCGGCAGGCCUAACACAUGCAAGUCGAGGGGUAGGUAUCUUCGGAUAUUGAGACCGGCGCACAGGUGCGUAACGCGUAUGCAAUCUACCUUUUACUAAGGGAUAGCCCAGAGAAAUUUGGAUUAAUACCUUAUAGUAUGUUUGAAUGGCAUCGUUUAAACAUUAAAGAUUUAUUGGUAAAAGAUGAGCAUGCGUCCCAUUAGUUAGUUGGUAAGGUAACGGCUUACCAAGACGAUGAUGGGUAGGGGUCCUGAGAGGGAGAUCCCCCACACUGGUACUGAGACACGGACCAGACUCCUACGGGAGGCAGCAGUGAGGAAUAUUGGUCAAUGGAGGCAACUCUGAACCAGCCAUGCCGCGUGCAGGAAGACGGUCCUAUGGAUUGUAAACUGCUUUUGUACAGGAAGAAAAAGUACCACGUGUGGUAUAUUGACGGUACUGUAAGAAUAAGGAUCGGCUAACUCCGUGCCAGCAGCCGCGGUAAUACGGAGGAUCCAAGCGUUAUCCGGAAUCAUUGGGUUUAAAGGGUCCGUAGGCGGCCUUAUAAGUCAGUGGUGAAAGUUUGCAGCUUAACUGUAAAAUUGCCAUUGAUACUGUAGGGCUUGAAUAAUUGUGAAGUAACUAGAAUAUGUAGUGUAGCGGUGAAAUGCUUAGAUAUUACAUGGAAUACCAAUUGCGAAGGCAGGUUACUAACAAUUUAUUGACGCUGAUGGACGAAAGCGUGGGUAGCGAACGGGAUUAGAUACCCUGGUAGUCCACGCCGUAAACGAUGGAUACUAGUUGUUCGGUAGCAAUACUGAGUGACUAAGCGAAAGUGAUAAGUAUCCCACCUGGGGAGUACGUUCGCNAGAAUGAAACUCANGGAAUUGACGG